rnacentral:lncRNA from 1 species
UUACCGACGUGCUCAUCUGCGCAUAGCCUUGCCGGGCAGAAGCUACGAUCGGACUCAAUAUGCUGCACUCCCAUUUCUCCUCUGGCUUCACGCCAUUCUUUUGAGCCACUCUGGCGACCAGGUAGGUGUUGAUCCGUCUCUGGGCUGGCUUGAGCUCCAGAGAGCUCUUCAGCCUCUUGCCUGUCACGUUGCUCAAGUAUAUCGAGCUCCUCGGGUUCCAGUUUGCUCCUUUGAAUCGCUGUUAGCAGUGCUACUACCUCCUCCGCGGUCUCUUCGCUUACCAAGUUCCUGCGAGACACUACCUUUUACAACAAAGUCAAAGAAGCGCCACACAAAUACAGGAAUAUAGUUUGUACCUCUGGCCACUUCCGUGUGUAUCGUUUUGUAACAUCAUAAACUCCAUCUUUCGCAACGGCAAUGACGUAGUUCAGCUUCUUUCCCCAUCUUGACGCAAGUCCGGUGUUAGCGUGAGAAAAAGAAAUGUCACAUAGUACCCUUUCUCGUAAAGAAGCGGAGUAUCAUACGAGGCCUCACACGGAUCCAAGUGCACCCAUCUGCACAAGCACUUCAAGAGCUUUAUAAGAGGUCGGGAGAGCAUACCUUCCGAGAUAAGGAGAAUGGAACUCUGUCCAGACGUGAUCCGUGAAGUCAAGGACCUGCACAAAAGCAAGAGUUACAAGCAUGAACCAACAGAUUCUAUGACCACGGCGUUACCAGACGAGCAUUGUAGCCUAGCGCAACGCAGUAGAACGUAAAACAAUUGGCCCAUUCUCCACAGCGACCGCAUUGUGUCUCCAUGAGCUUCAUUUGACAAUAGAAAGUUCAUACUAUAAAUAAAAUCAGUGGCAGCAUUCAAGCGAGUGGAACCAGUCAACUUUACCUUCGCGGGACUGUUGUAGCGUGGAAAUCGAGUGACUGUUCCACAAAGCUCGCAACUGCAGGGUGAGGAGUUAAAACGUUUGUAGAUGCUCGAAACUUUCAGCUGGAAACACCUGUGAAUCUCUACACGGCUGGCUCCAAAUUGGAGAUCCUCGGCACUUGGUCCUCCCAUGCCUAUGUGAUGCGUGUUGGAUGCACAGAAAUCAAACGAGGUUGAAUUCACCCACCUGCAAAUCCAGAGCUCUUUCAGAAAAAAAGAAAUUUGGGAAAGAAGAGCCAGCAAACGAACUAACUUGAAAGAUGUCUUGAACCAGUGGAGCAACUGCCGCUUGUUUCUUCCUCUUCCUUGAUUUUCUUUGUUCUUCUCAAGGAAGGAAGAUCCAGCCAACCAAAGAAGAAGAGAACCAUUUUUUUCUCCCUCGAGCUCGCUCAUCCCGACGUCCUGGGAGUUCACGAGCUCCACAUAUGGUCCGUGACCACCGGCAAAGUUUUGCUGUCGUGCCAUGUCGCUGUGAAGCACGAUGCCGAUGGCGACUUGGUUCUCCAGAGAGUGGUCGAGUACUGCGACCGGGAGCUCAAGAUAAGUCAUGUCACGGUGCAAAUUGAGAGAAUGGAUGUGGAUCAUGUGUAGAGAAAUCUCCUUUUUUUCGCUUUUUCUUAAGCGAUAUGACACAGAGUUGGGGAGUAAGAAAUGCAAGACUACUAAGUAGCCAAGAUUUAUAUGAUGUUAAUUAAAUUGUGCUGGGUACAAAACCCUCUUUAGAAUAGCAUUUUAUAUUAAUCUUGACGGUUGUACUAGCAUAUUCUUGAAACCAUUGCGCUAAACAAAACAUAUAAUAAUUUUUACCGAACAUGGCCAUACCAUACAUGGCUAUUCCAUACAAGGAAAUCUAUUCCUAAUUAUAAAACCGGAGAAUACCACAAUCGUAAAAGUAAGAUAGAAGUUCUAGUUGAGAGAUGGAAGCAUUCAGGGUUCUUGUCAUUGUUUUGGUUGCAUGCAUCUCGAUAUCCCAAGCUGCUAGCACGAAUCCUCCUGUACAAGGCCUGUUUGUUUUUGGGGACUCAGCGUUAGAUGGAGGACAGAACACGUACAUCCCGGGCUCCAAGAUUGUUAGCGCAAUUCCGCCGUAUGGAAAGACUUACUUCAGCAAGCCAACAGGGCGUUGGACGGAUGGUAGAACGAUUGCUGAUUUCCUGGCUCAAGCACUAGGCCUUCCAUUGUUGCCACCUUUUCUCGAGCCUGGUGCCAACUUUUCCAAUGGGGUGAACUUUGCAUCUGCUGGUGCAGGCUUGUUAGAUGAAACGAAUGCCCAUCAAGUACGUAUACUCCCAUAUUCCCCUCAGAAAUAGUUGAUUUUGAUUCAUUCUUUUUGGGUUUUAUCAGGGAGUUAUUUCAAUGAAGCAGCAGCUGCGCCAGUUUCGCAACGUCACAAAUGAGUACAAAAAAGAGAAGGGUGUGGAGUUUACGAACCAGCUCUUGCGCAAUUCAGUGGCAUUGUUUAGCAUGGGAGCUAAUGAUAUUGCUAAUGCUGUUCCCAGCUCAUUCUUGUUCCAGGAGAUGAUACAAACAUAUUCAAGUGCUAUUCAGGUACUCGAGUAUUACAUUCACUAACUUCAAAACCUUUGGAUGUCUCUUUUGAUUUAUAGGAAAUUUACAAUUAUGGCAUUAAGCAUAUCAUAAUUCUGCUAGCACCACCGAUUGGGUGUACUCCUAACUUGAGAGCGGUAUCAGCACAAAGCAGGAAUACCAAUUUAACUCCAGAGGGCUGCAUAGGAAUCAUUAACACUCUUGUGGAUUCAUAUAACACUAAACUCUUGAAUCUUGCUGUGAAGUUACACAAUGACUAUCGUGACUUGAACAUUGCAACAUUAAAUCCAUCUCCAAUUAUACUGAACGUGCUAAGGAAUCCUCAGAAAUACGGUAAGAAACACAAAUUAUCUCUCCAUUCAUAUUCAUAUUAAUAUUUGUGUGUGUCCGUCUAGGUUUCAAAGAAGCAGAAAAGGCAUGUUGUGGUGGUGGGCCAUUUAAUGCAGCAGAAUUUUGUGGGGACGCUGAUAAACAUGAUUGGAAGCCAGAUCACAAAAAUAAAUACACUAAGUUCAUCUGCAACAAUCCUAAAGAUUACUUAUACUUUGAUAGCAACCAUUUCACUGAAGCUGGUUAUUGGUUUGUGAUGAAGAAUUUUUGGCAUGGAUCUUACAAUAUUGCAAGACCUAGCAACCUCAACUUCUUUUUUCAGGGGUUUAACAUUCCAAACCCACCCCCAACGCCUUAAAAGUUUGUAUUUUAUUUCAUAUAAAACAUUUCUUCUAGACCACAUGUAUCAAUGUUAUUAAUGUUUUCUAGAUUAGUGUUUUCUAGGCCUUAACAUGAUCAUGCAGUGGAAGGUUGAAAGGAUUUUUAAACCAAUCUUUUAGAUUAAGAAAAAGAACAAAGCUGAGGCACUGGAUUAAGGUUAGUCCGACGGGGCUUUGAAUCCCACUCUCAACACUAGUUCGUGAUGAUAAAUAGUUUUGAUCGUCAAAGUCUACGUUUUUUGUAGGCAAUGGUAGGUAAAACAAAUGCUGUUGUUAAUUGUGAAUGUAAAAGCCUAUGGAGGAAAGCUGGAGCCUCGACGUUUUUACGUCUCUCUUACGGCUGCGAAUUGGAGCCUGCGUCAAUGAGAGAAUUUGAGGGUAAACACGCAUGAAACCUGGUUUUACCUUAGAACGCUGCAAGGAAACUGGGACUCUUUGGCAACUAUAAAGCAUCGUCUCUCGUAGCGCUCUUGAAAUAGCUCUCCACUUCGCUUGUCAAGGAGUUGCCAGGUCUUACCCCCCAUCGCAGCUUCCCUCGAGCAUCCUGGAAAAGCAAUCAAAAGGAAAAACUCUGAUCCAUAACAAUGGCAAUUGAUUAACAUUACCAGUCCAAAGGAUCUCUCUUGGGGCAGUCGUUUGCGGAUGUUAAGUCGUAUCCAACAAUGUGUUGAGACGUGUUACCAUGCAAAUGGUAAACAAGAGUUGCGCCUACAAGCACACCUGUUUCAAUUCUAGAUACGAAAAAAAUAAAAAACUUCGCCAACCUUUUGCUCCUUCUGGUUCUUCCCAUUUUGUGGAGUAGUGGCCGUCAAAAGCUGUGCUAGCCUGCAAACGAUAAACUUCAUUUUAAGUGAAGGAAAGAACCAAGGGAAACGAGAAAACAUACUGUUCUAGAGGGCAUCUAUUUGCCAGUGGCAUAAACUUUUAUUGUUUUGGAGUUUGCAUUUUUCCCGUGAUCCUAACUAUAGUUAUUUACCACAACUACAUUAGCUCGUUUGUUACAUCAAACACUCAUCUGGAUCACAUCCUCAACUCUCUGAGGAAACCCUCCACUCCAAAGCCUCCUUCCUUGUAACAUCAGCUGCAGCGAACUCAUGUCCUGGGAUGCGAGCUUCUUCGCGACUUUCUCGACGUUCUCAAGAGCUGUGGCAAGAGCCAGAGCAGCCUUUCCUGGAGGUUCCUUGAGAGUAACUUGCAUUCCCCCACUUCCAUCGCUCGCUUGCUUCAUUCCAAUGCCAUCCAGCCAUGCCGCACUGCCUUUGCUUUGCAGGAAGUUCAGCUGAGUUUCGUCUGUGGAUUCCAUCUUUGCACUUCUCGCUCUGAAUGACUGCCUCUUAAGCUUGAUCAAUAAGUCGUGGAGAAGUGCCAGCUCUUUUUCUGCCGCACUUCUUUCUUGAGAGCAUAACAGCCCGAUUGCUUGGUAGAUUUUACCGACGUGCUCAUCUGCGCAUAGCCUUGCCGAGCAGAAGCUACGAUCGGACUCAAUAUGCUGGACUCCCAUUUCUCCUCUGGCUUCACGCCAUUCUUUUGACCCACUCUGGCGACCAGGUAGGUGUUGAUCCGUCUCUGGGCUGGCUUGAGCUCCAGAGAGCUCUUCAGCCUCUUGCCUGUCACGUUGCUCAAGUAUAUCGAGCUCCUCAGGUUCCAGUUUGCUCCUUUGAAUCGCUGUUAGCAGUGCUACUACCUCCUCCGCGGUCUCUUCGCUUACCAAGUUCCUGCGAGACACUACCUUUU